ensembl:lncRNA
GGUUAGAGGAGAGUUAGAGGAGGGUUAAAGAGUUAGAGGAGGUUUAGAGGAGGGUUAGAGGAGAGUUAGAGGAGAGUUAGAGGAGAGUUAGAGGAGAGUUAGAGGAGAGUUAGAGGAGAGUUAGAGGAGGUUUAGAGGAGGGUUAGAGGAGGGUUAGAGGAGAGUUAGAGGAGAGUUAGAGGAGGUUUAGAGGAGGGUUAGAGGAGAGUUAGAGGGGUUAGAGGAGGGUUGGAGGAGAGUUAGAGGAGAGUUAGAGGGGUUAGAGGAGGGUUGGAGGAGAGUUAGAGGAGAGUUAGAGGGGUUAGAGGAGGGUUGGAGGAGAGUUAGAGGACGGUUAAAGAGUUAGAGGAGGUUUAGAGGGGGGUUAGAGGAGAGUUAGAGGAGAGUUAGAGGAGAGUUAGAGGAGAAUUAAAGAGUUAGAGGACGGUUAAAGAGUUAGAGGAGGGUUAGAG